rnacentral:misc_RNA from 1 species
GAUGAAGAACGCAGUGAAAUGCGAUAAGUAAUGUGAAUUGCAGAAUUCAGUGAAUCAUCGAAUCUUUGAACGCACCUUGCACCCUUUGGCAUUCCGAAGGGUAUGCUCGUUUGAGUGUCAUUGUACUCUCACACUCCCGAUCUUUGGAUUGGGAGCGGUGGACUUGGGUUUGCUGCUUGCCGUGGCUCACCUCAAAUGGAUUAGUGCAACUCUUGGUUGACCAUAGUACGGCGUGAUAAGUGUCUUCGCCGGCACCUCACUGGGUGGGCCGAUCGGGAGCUCUGUGCUUCAAACUGUCUUCGGACAACAUCUGACAACUUGACCUCAAAUCGAGUAGGACUACCCGCUGAACUUAAGCAUAUCAAUAAGCGGAGGA